UCUUUUUCCACCGGAGCUUGCUCCACCGGAAAAAGAGGAGUGGCGAACGGGUGAGUAACACGUGGGUAACCUGCCCAUCAGAAGGGGAUAACACUUGGAAACAGGUGCUAAUACCGUAUAACAAUCGAAACCGCAUGGUUUUGAUUUGAAAGGCGCUUUCGGGUGUCGCUGAUGGAUGGACCCGCGGUGCAUUAGCUAGUUGGUGAGGUAACGGCUCACCAAGGCCACGAUGCAUAGCCGACCUGAGAGGGUGAUCGGCCACAUUGGGACUGAGACACGGCCCAAACUCCUACGGGAGGCAGCAGUAGGGAAUCUUCGGCAAUGGACGAAAGUCUGACCGAGCAACGCCGCGUGAGUGAAGAAGGUUUUCGGAUCGUAAAACUCUGUUGUUAGAGAAGAAUAAGGAUGAGAGUAACUGUUCAUCCCUUGACGGUAUCUAACCAGAAAGCCACGGCUAACUACGUGCCAGCAGCCGCGGUAAUACGUAGGUGGCAAGCGUUGUCCGGAUUUAUUGGGCGUAAAGCGAGCGCAGGCGGUUUCUUAAGUCUGAUGUGAAAGCCCCCGGCUCAACCGGGGAGGGUCAUUGGAAACUGGGAGACUUGAGUGCAGAAGAGGAGAGUGGAAUUCCAUGUGUAGCGGUGAAAUGCGUAGAUAUAUGGAGGAACACCAGUGGCGAAGGCGGCUCUCUGGUCUGUAACUGACGCUGAGGCUCGAAAGCGUGGGGAGCAAACAGGAUUAGAUACCCUGGUAGUCCACGCCGUAAACGAUGAGUGCUAAGUGUUGGAGGGUUUCCGCCCUUCAGUGCUGCAGCUAACGCAUUAAGCACUCCGCCUGGGG
rnacentral:rRNA from 1 species